rnacentral:lncRNA from 1 species
UGGCCAGGCUGAUCUCGAACUGCUGACCUUGUGAUCCUCCCGCCUCAGCCUCCCAAAGUGUUGGGAUUACAGGCGUGAGCCACCGCGCCCGGCCCCCAACGUUUCUUUUUAAGCCUGUCAUAUCUCACAUUAAAUGUGUAAGUCUCUGAACUGUAGGGCUUUGAACAAAGGAAAGUUCCAUGAGAAUACUAUAUGAUGCCAAUUUCUACUGUUAGGAACGCGAUAACAGAGUGCAGUGGGGGAGAAAAUACCGUCCUCAAGAUCUGAGAAACUGGAGAGGAAAAGUCACAGGACAACCAACUUCUCUAUGACAUAGCCCAGCAUCUGAGGAAAGUCCUGCAAUAGUGGAGGUGGAGCAGAGGGUAUGAGCUGGGAAGCAAAUGGAGCAGGAGCUGGAGGCUGCCCCAUCCACUCCAAGCCAGAGAACAAGCAGAGGCUGCCACAGGAGAUCCUGGGCAAGUAAUCAGCCACAGCAUCUAGAUUAGCAUGAAGGAAACACUGGCCAAAUUAAAAGAUGAAACUUCCAAAAGGCUGGGAGGGACUGUGGCCAGCGCUGACACGGAAGUGGCCCGUCAAACAAAUGCUGCUGAGAGUACGAGAGCCAAGACCCAGGCAGAAGCCAGAGGAGGCAUCUGAAGUGAAGGGAGAAGACACUGCAGAUGGGGAAUCUGAGGAGUCCCCCACCCUCGAGAUCCCUACCUCUGGAUGCGGAUGCUCUGAUCU